UGUGACGUAAAGACAAUAUUAAACACCGGUGCAUCCACAGAAGUCAGCUGUAACAAACUAAUAGCGUUGGUUGCCAACUGCCGUUAAACCCCACAGAAGAAGAAGUCAGCUGUUGUUUUCCAGCGCGGAGUAUGCCGUUUAUAUUGUUGAGCGGAAUUAAACCCAGCUGUGUUUGGUAAACUUUUUGGGCCUUCAAAUCUUGGGCGUCAUCUGAAUCGUAUAAAGGGGAUCACUGCCCACCUUUUUCCCCAGAGCUGCAAGAAAGGUAGCUGAUGAAACAGACACCAUCGAAGAGGU